CAGCGGUGACAGGUGGUGCAUGGUUGUCGUCAGCUCGUGUCGUGAGAUGUUGGGUUAAGUCCCGCAACGAGCGCAACCCUUGGAUUGUGUUGCCAUCAUUCAGUUGGGCACUUACAAUCGACUGCCGGUGACAAACCGGAGGAAGGCGGGGAUGACGUCAAAUCAUCAUGCCCCUUAUGUCCUGGGCUACACACGUGCUACAAUGGGCGGUACAAAGGGUUGCGAAGCCGCGAGGCGGAGCCAAUCCCAGAAAGCCGUUCGUAGUUCGGAUUGUAGGCUGCAACUCGCCUACAUGAAGUCGGAAUCGCUAGUAAUCGCGGAUCAGCAUGCCGCGGUGAAUACGUUCCCGGGCCUUGUACACACCGCCCGUCACACCACGAGAGUUUGCAACACCCGAAGUCGGUGAGGUAACCGCAAGGAGCCAGCCGCCGAAGGUGGGGUAGAUGAUUGGGGUGAAGUCGUAACAAGGUA
rnacentral:rRNA from 1 species